AGUUUAUUUUUAGAUAGUAGACGCUGAGGUUCAGAGUACAAGCCAGAACAGGAACAAACAAGAAUGUUGCUGGACGCUUUUUUUUAAUCUUAUAUCUUAUUUUUUUAAACAAGGAUCCAUCUAAAUGCUGCGUUUCUUGAUGAUUGUAUUUUGGGGUUUUUGGUUAGUGUCAGACUCAAAAUGAGGCUCUGUGAUGAAUGUGAUGAUGGAAACACAGCAGACGAGCAGACCGCACAGUCUGCAGCCUCCAGCUGCUCGAGAAACUUGUUACAGCUCAACCUAUUACGCGUCAGCCAUCAUCAACAUCCUAAGUGAGACCAAAUGAAAACAAACAGAUGCCACUUACAGCCGUUUACCUCCUGAUGACACAGGGGCAAUCCAAAGAGAUGAUCGACUCCAACCUGGAACCUUCACUCACAAAACUUGUGUGCAGGACAACGAGCAGUAAUGGAAAUCCGCCAACUUUCUAAAUCCAUCCCAAACAUUUCAGUUUUGAUGUUGCGAAGACUGAAGCCUUGAAGAGCAGCCAUGAGAGGAGAAACACAAGAUAUCGCUCUGAGCUUCAUUUUUCAGUAAGACAAGAAAGUUUCAAGCUGGAUAUCAGGCUGUUCUCACGGGAUCUCAGCGAGUAAAUCAUCUGCUGUCAUGAGAUAAAGUUUGAUUUCAACGGGACAAAGGUCGUCAUGAAGCUGCAUGUUCAAUGAUGUCAAUUGACGGAGGAACAUAGAAUUAAAUUCUCUUGUUGCAGCUCACUGCAUGUUUGCAGAAAUGGAAAUCAACACUGACCUUUUGGCACUGAAUAUGAAUUGUUUUUUGAAUUCUGCACAAAACUUGUGAAAAUGUAAUCUUUAUACUUCGAAUGUUGUUUUUUUUAUUGGCAUGUGCUGCAAAGUUCCAAUCAGGGACUGAAAACAGGAAAAGUGAGAGAUUGCAUUUUGCAAAACAACCAAGGUUUUAACCGAGUAAAACAAAUAUUUAAAAAUGUACUUUUUUAAACACCAGAGUUUCCAUUACACUCCAUAUUUUUUCAGCCACAACUGCAUCAAUCUUUUGAUCCGUUCUCAGACUCUCAGAAAUCACAUUUGUAAUCCAGACAACUAAGAAGUUUACCGUUAUGUUCAGAAAUUAUUUCAUAACUUCUAACAGAACCUCCAGAUAUAACUUAGAAUUUUCACAUAGAUUUAAUUUUGAGCUACAUUACAGAGUCAGCAACUGAUAUUUAAAAGAAAAAAGUAUUGUUUAUUUUUUUCAGGGGCAGUGCAUUAAUAAAUGUAAUUGCACCAGAGAUAGCUAUUAUCUUAUUUGUAUCUGUUGUCCCUGUGGAGGUAGACAAACAAUACAUAACAGGAAGUGUAAUAUCUAAAACACCAGGAUAAGUCAAAAUGAUUUCGUGCAUUACACUUCAUAAGAAAUCACAUAUAUAUAUAUAUAUAUAAAAAAUCCAUACAUAUGAACAAACACUACAUUAAACAGCAGCACCAUAAUGUCCAUCAGUAUAAAAAUGUUUUUGUGGUUUUGUAUUUUUUUUUAAACAAUCAAUCUGCUAACGUUAUGUCAACAUGUUUUCUCUGUCAACAUGUUUUCUCUGUCAAUUUCAAUCUGUGCUGGAGGAGCCCAUGAUCUGCUUUUCAUUACUGCUAGUUAACGUGGGCACAAGCUUCCUCCAGACAUGUGACUCACCAUGCGCGUCUUUCUUUUCUUCCUUAACACAGUGUCUGAGAAAGACGCGUUUGAUUUACUGCUCUGCAACGUUCAAUAUAAUCUGCUGCUUAACCAGUAAAACAAACCUUCUAUGGCCUUCUCUUAAACAGCGUUGAGUGUUUCUAAUUUUUUUCCAUACAUGUAUUCAAAUAUUAAACCGUUAUUUUUUUUUAAGAAUGCAUGAAGCUGAGGAUAGCUGAACAAUAUAAGGAGAUUAAGGAUGUGGUUGUAGUGCGGCCAAGAGUUUAAAACGACUGUACUUCACUCCUGUGUAUACCUUUGUGUCAAUAUUGUUUGAUUUCUCAUCUGACAGUUCUUAUUUAAGGACGUAUGGUGAAUAUUCAAUAUUGGUUAUAGAAAGUCCUGAACAAAGUUUAAAUUCACCCAAAUGUGCCUGAAUAAAAAUCAUGGAUAAGCUUUAUACUGAACAGUUAAUCUAUUAAGAUGCUACAUUAUUGAAUUUUGCCCUCGCAGGAUCAAUAAAGUAUAUCUUCUGUC